rnacentral:tRNA from 1 species
GUCUCUGUAGCUCAGAAGGAUAGAGCGUUCGCCUCCUAAGCGAAAGGCCGCUGGUUCGACUCCAGUCAGGGACACCA